CCGAUAUCGGGCGCCGGGAAAUGUGGUGUUCGGGAGGGUCCAUUAUCCCGAGGUCAUGCGGUGCGUCCAAGUCCUUCUUGAACGGGGCCACAGCCCAUAGAGGGUGCCAGGCCCGUAGCGACCGCCGCUGAUCGCGGGAGGAUCUCUCCUUAGAGUCGGGUUGCUUGAGAGUGCAGCCCUAAGUGGGUGGUAAACUCCAUCUAAGGCUAAAUAUGACCACGAGACCGAUAGCGAACAAGUACCGUGAGGGAAAGUUGAAAAGCACUUUGAAGAGAGAGUUCAAGAGUACGUGAAACCGUUUAGGGGUAAACCUGAGAAGCCCGAAAGGUCGAAGGGAGAAAUUCAUUCGCGUUUCGUCGCUGACGUUAGGCGGUCGUGUGACGGGGAUCGUUCGCGUUUCCCGCACCUUCCGUCUCUCGAAUCGGCGGCGUACGCGUGCACUUUUCUCCUGGUAGGACGUCGCGAUCCGUUGGGUGUCGGUCUACGGCUCGCGGUGGAGCCCGUCCGUCGAUUCACGUCGUACGGACGGACCCGCGUGUCCCGGCUGACUCGCCUGACGGUAUACGAAAGGUUUAAGGCCGCUCUUGGAGCGUUCGGCUCGCGGCAAGCGCGCCAGAUGCGUCGGCGAUCGGACCUGGUGCCGAUUCUGACCUCUGGUGACUGUUGGCCGUGAAGUUCUCGAACAGACCUUAGGACCGAUCUGCGACGCUAUAGCUUUGGGUACUUUCAGGACCCG
rnacentral:rRNA from 1 species